rnacentral:rRNA from 1 species
CUCCUGGAAACGGGUGGUAAUGCCGGAUGCUCCGACUCCUCGCAUGGGGUGUCGGGAAAGAUUUCAUCGGUAUGGGAUGGGGUCGCGUCCUAUCAGGUAGUCGGCGGGGUAACGGCCCACCGAGCCUACGACGGGUAGCCGGCCUGAGAGGGCGACCGGCCACAUUGGGACUGAGAUACGGCCCAGACUCCUACGGGAGGCAGCAGUGGGGAAUAUUGCACAAUGGGCGCAAGCCUGAUGCAGCGACGCCGCGUGCGGGAUGACGGCCUUCGGGUUGUAAACCGCUUUUGAUCGGGAGCAAGCCUUCGGGUGAGUGUACCUUUCGAAUAAGCACCGGCUAACUACGUGCCAGCAGCCGCGGUAAUACGUAGGGUGCAAGCGUUAUCCGGAAUUAUUGGGCGUAAAGGGCUCGUAGGCGGUUCGUCGCGUCCGGUGUGAAAGUCCAUCGCUUAACGGUGGAUCCGCGCCGGGUACGGGCGGGCUUGAGUGCGGUAGGGGAGACUGGAAUUCCCGGUGUAACGGUGGAAUGUGUAGAUAUCGGGAAGAACACC